AAUCAACGCUGGCGGCGUGCCUAACACAUGCAAGUCGAGCGGUAACGGGUGUAGCAAUACAUGCUGACGAGCGGCGGACGGGUGAGUAACGCUUGGGAAUCUGCCUAUUAGUGGGGGACAACCCGGGGAAACUCGGGCUAAUACCGCAUACGCUCUACGGAGGAAAGCCGGGGACCGCAAGGCCUGGCGCUAAUAGAUGAGCCCAAGUCGGAUUAGCUAGUUGGUAGGGUAAUGGCCUACCAAGGCGACGAUCCGUAACUGGUCUGAGAGGACGACCAGUCACACCGGAACUGAGACACGGUCCGGACUCCUACGGGAGGCAGCAGUGGGGAAUAUUGGACAAUGGGCGAAAGCCUGAUCCAGCGACGCCGCGUGGGUGAAGAAGGCCUGCGGGUUGUAAAGCCCUUUCAGUGGGGAAGAAAAGCCUCGACCUAACACGUCGGGGUCUUGACGUAACCCAUAGAAGAAGCACCGGCUAACUCCGUGCCAGCCGCCGCCGUAAC
rnacentral:rRNA from 1 species